GACGAACGCUGGCGGCGUGCUUAACACAUGCAAGUCGAACGGCAAGGCCCUGCUUUUGUGGGGUGCUCGAGUGGCGAACGGGUGAGUAACACGUGAGUAACCUGCCCUUGACUUUGGGAUAACUUCAGGAAACUGGGGCUAAUACCGGAUAGGAGCUCCUGCUGCAUGGUGGGGGUUGGAAAGUUUCGGCGGUUGGGGAUGGACUCGCGGCUUAUCAGCUUGUUGGUGGGGUAGUGGCUUACCAAGGCUUUGACGGGUAGCCGGCCUGAGAGGGUGACCGGCCACAUUGGGACUGAGAUACGGCCCAGACUCCUACGGGAGGCAGCAGUGGGGAAUAUUGCACAAUGGGCGGAAGCCUGAUGCAGCAACGCCGCGUGCGGGAUGGCGGCCUUCGGGUUGUAAACCGCAUUCGCCUGUGACGAAGCGUGAGUGACGGUAAUGAGUAAAGAAGCACCGGCUAACUACGUG
rnacentral:rRNA from 1 species